UGCCUCGGCAUCAGCGUGCUC
rnacentral:sRNA from 1 species